GGCUAGAGUUUGAUCAUGGCUCAGGAUAAACGCUGGCGGCGCACAUAAGACAUGCAAGUCGAACGGACUUAAUCGAUUCUUUUAGACUCGAAGCGGUUAGUGGCGGACUGGUGAGUAACACGUAAGCAACCUGCCUAUUAGAGGGGAAUAACAGUGAGAAAUCACUGCUAAAACCGCAUAUGCCGUGAACAUCGCAUGAUGAAAACGGGAAAAGAGCAAUCUGCUAAUAGAUGGGCUUGCGUCUGAUUAGCUAGUUGGUGUGGUAAAGGCAUACCAAGGCAACGAUCAGUAGCCGGACUGAGAGGUUGAACGGCCACAUUGGGACUGAGAUACGGCCCAGACUCCUACGGGAGGCAGCAGUCGGGAAUAUUGCGCAAUGGAGGAAACUCUGACGCAGUGACGCCGCGUAUGGGAAGAAGGUUUUCGGAUUGUAAACCAUUUUAGACAAGGAAGAAGCAAGACAGUACUUGUAGAAUAAGCUCCGGCUAACUACGUGCCAGCAGCCGCGGUAAUACGUAGGGAGCAAGCGUUAUCCGGAUUUAUUGGGUGUAAAGGGUGCGUAGACGGGAAGGUAAGUUAGUUGUGAAAUCCCUCGGCUCAACUGAGGAACUGCGACUAAAACUGCUUUUCUUGAGUGCUGGAGAGGAAAGUG
rnacentral:rRNA from 1 species